ensembl:lncRNA
AAACAAAGCUGUAAAGUGACAAGUAAGAUACACUGUUAAACAUCAACACAGGAUAGACUCUCAAACAGUCACCACUUUUAAACAAAUCGAAAGAGAGGGAUGGUAUACGGCUGAUUUAACGGAAUGACAUUCACAACCACAUUAAAGGAACCCUGCUCAGGUUCUCUGAUGAGUCAAAACACCUCUGGCUAUUAUUUCAACAGAGUUUUGAACAGCGUACAGUUUCAACAGCCCUGCAUUCCACCAGUUCCUUGUGUAAAUAUCUGGUGUCGAUGUCUCUCAUUGAGAAGGGAGGAGUGGCCUGGCAAGAGGAGAGAGUGCACCACAGCGAGUCCCAGAAGCAGCACGUGGGAGCCACAGAGGACGGACUCAAGCCAUGCAGUUGCCUCCCUGCUAAAUGCACCUGCUGCUGGGCUAACAGGACUGAAUAAUUGGCAGAUCAGUUAA